UGUUCUGUGGCUUAGUUGGUUAAAGCGCCGGACUAGCGACACGGAGUCGUGGGUUCGAAUCCCACCAAAAGAA
rnacentral:tRNA from 1 species